rnacentral:rRNA from 1 species
ACAGAGGGUGCAAGCGUUGUUCGGAAUUAUUGGGCGUAAAGCGCGUGUAGGCGGCUUUGCAAGUCGGGUGUGAAAUCCCUCAGCUUAACUGAGGAAGUGCGCCCGAAACUGCAGAGCUUGAGUACCGGAGAGGAUGGUGGAAUUCCCCAAGUAGAGGUGAAAUUCGUAGAUAUGGGGAGGAACACCGGUGGCGAAGGCGACCAUCUGGACGGAUACUGACGCUGAGACGCGAAAGCUAGGGGAGCGAACGGGA